GAGCGCAAACCCUCGUCCUGUGUUGCUCUCUCACAGGAGACUGCCCCGCAUAACCGGGGAGGAAGGUGAGGAUGACGUCAAGUCAGCACGGCCCUUAUGCUUGGGCUACACACACGCCACAAUGGAUGGUACAACGAGUCGCUAAGGAGCGAUCCCAAGCUAAUCUCCCAAAGCCAUCCUCAGUACGGAUUGCAGGCUGAAACCCGCCUGCAUGAAGCUGGAGUUGCUAGUAACCGUGGGUCAGCAUACCGCGGUGAAUAUGUUCUCGGGCCUU
rnacentral:rRNA from 1 species